UAUUUUUUUGAUAAAAGGCCAGCCGGGGUUUGCCCGACCUGUGGUUAAUCAUGAUAACUUGACGAAUCGCAUGGCCUCGUGCCGGCGAAGUUUCAUUCAAAUUUUUGCCCUAUCAAGUAUUGUAUGUAGGAUAGAGGCCUACAUAGCUUUUGGCGGGUGACGGAGGAUUAGGGUUUGAUUCCGGAGGGGGAGCCUGGGAAAAGGGCCCCCCAUCCAAGGAAGGCAGCAGGCGGGAAAAUUACCCAAUCCCGCCACGGGGAGGUUGUGACAAUAAAUAACAAUACCGGGCCUUUCAUGUCUGGUAAUUUGAAAGGGGACAAUCUAAAUCCCUUAACGAGGAUCCAUU
rnacentral:rRNA from 1 species